GACGAACGCUGGCGGCGUGCUUAACACAUGCAAGUCGAACGGAAAGGCCUCUUUCGGGGGGUACUCUCGUGGCGCACGGGUGAGUAACACGUGAGUAUCCUCCCCUUUACUUUGUGAUAUCUUUUGGAAACUGUGGCUAAUACCCGAUAGAAGCUCCUGCUGCACGUUGGGGGUUUGAGAGUUUCUGGGGUUGGGGGUGGACUCGCGGGUUAUCAGCUUGUUGGGGGGGUGUUGGGUUAACAAGGGUUUGACGGGUAGCCGGGCUGGGAGGGUGACCGGCCAAAAUGGGACUGAGAUAAGGCCCAGACGCCGAAGGGAGGGAGCAGGGGGGAAGAAUGCAAAAUGGGGGGAAGCCUGAUGCAGCAACGCCGGGGGGGGGAUGAAGGGCUUCGGGUUGGAAACCGCUUUCGCUCAUGACGAAGCUGUGUGUGACGGUAGUGGGUAAAGAAGCACCGGCUAACUACGUG
rnacentral:rRNA from 1 species